GGAAGCAGGAUGAAGUCGUCGUGCUGUUGCCAUGGGAACCACAGUCAGCGAGAGUCUGGUCAGGUGAGUUCCUCAGGUGAAACAGAACCGGCUUCAACGGAGAUUAUACACCCGUGAACCUCAGCAGCAGUGCAUAUCCUAAACCAUGAAGCAGAGCAAAAGCAGAGGUUCCUCAGAAGAAUAAGACCAAUGUUGGUAUGAAGACCACCAAAUCCAAACAACCUUUCCAUCUGGCUACUGAUAGACGCUACACAGCAUGCCCAGACAGUGGGGAAACAGAAGAUCAGAAAGGCACAGCUUUUAUCCAGAAAUACACCCAAGAUGAAGGCAAAGGCCUGCAAGCAACGGCAGGUACACCUCCCGAGGGCAAAGUCCCCCGCAGUUUUGUUAGCUUACCUGUUCUCAAUCCAGAGAGACUGAAGACAGCCAGAGCUCAGGUGGACAAAG